AUUGCCCUAGUAACGGCGAGUGAAGCGGCAACAGCUCAAAUUUGAAAUCUGGCCUUCUUUGGGGGUCCGAGUUGUAAUUUGCAGAGGGUGCUUUGGUGUUGACAGCGGUCUAAGUUCCUUGGAACAGGACGUCACAGAGGGUGAGAAUCCCGUACGUGGCUGCUUGCCUCCGCCGUGUAAAGCCCCUUCGACGAGUCGAGUUGUUUGGGAAUGCAGCUCUAAAUGGGAGGUAAAUUUCUUCUAAAGCUAAAUACUGGCCAGAGACCGAUAGCGCACAAGUAGAGUGAUCGAAAGAUGAAAAGCACUUUGGAAAGAGAGUCAAACAGCACGUGAAAUUGUUGAAAGGGAAGCGCUUGCAGCCAGACUUGCCCGUAGUUGCUCACCUGGGCUUUUGCCCAGGGCACUCUUCUGCGGGCAGGCCAGCAUCAGUUUGGGCGACCGGAUAACGGCCUCUGUCAUGUAUCUUCCUUCGGGAAGACCUUAUAGGGGAGGCGUAAUGCGGCCAGCCUGGACUGAGGUCCGCGCUUCUGCUAGGAUGCUGGCGUAAUGGCUGUAAGCGGCCCGUCUUGAAACACGGACCAAGGAGUCUAACAUCUAUGCGAGUGUUUGGGUGUCAAGCCCGGGCGCGUAAUGAAAGUGAACGGAGGUGGGAACCCUUUCGGGGGUGCACCAUCGACCGAUCCUGAUGUCUUCGGAUGGAUUUGAGUAAGAGCAUAGCUGUUGGGACCCGAAAGAUGGUGAACUAUGCUUGAAUAGGGUGAAGCCAGAGGAAACUCUGGUGGAGGCUCGCAGCGGUUCUGACGUGCAAAUCGAUCGUCAAAUUUGGGCAUAGGGGCGAAAGACUAAUCGAACUAUCUAGUAGCUGGUUCCUGCCGAAGUUUCCCUCAGGAUAGCAGUAACGUAUUCAGUUUUAUGAGGUAAAGCGAAUGAUUAGAGGCCUGGGGGUUGAAACAACCUUCACCUAUUCUCAAACUUUAAAUAUGUAAGAAGUCCCUGUUACUUGAUUGAACGGGGACAUUUGAAUGCACCGUUACUAGUGGGCCAUUUUUGGUAAGCAGAACUGGCGAUGCGGGAUGAACCGAACGCGGGGUUAAGGUGCCAGAAUGCACGCUCAUCAGACACCACAAAAGGUGUUAGUUCAUCUAGACAGCAGGACGGUGGCCAUGGAAGUCGGAAUCCGCUAAGGAGUGUGUAACAACUCACCUGCCGAAUGAACUAGCCCUGAAAAUGGAUGGCGCUCAAGCGUGCUACCCAUACCCCGCCGCUGGGGCAGACAUUAUGCCCCAGCGAGUAGGCAGGCGUGGAGGUCCG
rnacentral:rRNA from 1 species